rnacentral:ncRNA from 2 species
AAAUGGUGGGCGCGCGUUGGUUCCUGUCCUACGACAGGCGAAGAGGGAAUGCGAUAGGGCGCGAAUCGGCAAGAUUCGGGUUCAAAAUGCAGCCGCCCCCGCGACCGUGACCGGAGAGAUGCCCGAAGCCACUGAUCCCCAUGGGGAUCGGGAAGGCGGGGAUCGAAGGGACAAACCCUGCUCCGCAAGCCGGGAGACCUGCCAGCGCGGAGUUUGAGAC